AUCUAUACUAUUGUAUACUACUAUCUAUACAAUGAGGAACUCGUGCGGGGCAUUGAAGUGAACUAAUUUCACACUGUUUCACUGGGCAUUUGUUUCGAUUCACACUACAGUUUGAAAGUGAUAGGAGUCAAAGAUCAGUUCAUGAAAAACAGGUUUGUACUUCAACGGGUCUCCAGCUUGUCUUUUGAUCAUGAAAACCUUCACCUUUUAUCACUUCUCAAGCAACCUGACUAACAUGUUAACAUAGGAGAUGAAGAUGUAAUGAUAACAUAUAAUGAUGUGGUUCUCUUUACUUUUCAGAAAAGCCUCAUCAAAAGUUUCCAUAAAUCUGCAGAUGUGAGCAGAGUGUGGCAAAUCCUUGGAGCCCUGAGGAGAGGAACUUCCCCUGAUGUCAUCCAGCGUUUGUCGAGGAUGCACCUGCCUCAUGUGCUCAGCUUCAGCGCAGCCUACCUGCAGUACCUCAACUGCCCACAAGGGGGCUGCUGCGACCAACACAGAAUUCAGGAUCCAGAUCCCACACGUACAAGAGUGCUGCAAUAAAUCCUGCCUUCAUUAAAGA